GUGGAUAGGUCUGGCUGUGACAUCUGUCACCCUAUUGAUUGUUGAGAUCCAUCCUGAUCUGGCUGACAAGGUGGGUGCUUCUGCUCUUCCCUCUAUUAUGGGCAUCCUUGCAGAAACCCGGUGCUCACACAAUAUUUUUUCCAGAGAGCUGUUCUUCUGUCAAGGUGUGCGAGCAGUUUCUCUCUGUUAAUGAUAAUCUCCAAACAGACCAUCCAGGUCUACUUUAUAUACAUUCCACUAUAAGACAUACAUUUGUG
rnacentral:snRNA from 1 species